rnacentral:rRNA from 1 species
UACGUAGGGACCAAGCGUUGUUCGGAUUUACUGGGCGUAAAGAGCGCGCAGGCGGUUGUGCAAGUCGCGUGUGAAAGCCCCCGGCUCAACUGGGGAGGGUCACGCGAUACUGUUCGACUUGAAGGCAGGAGAGGGAAGUGGAAUUCCCGGUGUAGUGGUGAAAUGCGUAGAUAUCAAGAGGAACACCUGAGGUGAAGACGGGUUGCUGGGCUGACACUGACGCUGAGGCGCGAAAGCCAGGGGAGCAAACGGG